GUUUACAUUGCAUAUUUCUGAGUCCAUUCUCUUGCAUGUCUGUUGUAUCUGUACGUGCAGAAAGAAGGCAUUACAGUGAAGAGCUGUUAGUGAUGCAUUGCAAUGGCCACAUAUUUACCUAAUAAAGGUGUUAUUGAGCUUUUUACCUCUGAGCAGAGACAAAGAACAUUAAAAUAGUCUAAAAGCCAAGAAGUAUAUUCCCACUGCACAUUGUUUGUAAGGUCACAUAUCAGAGCUAUUCAGACUCAAACCAAACUUCACAGGUUUGCAUUAAAUUGCAUAGCAUCCUUCAUCUGUGUUUCACUACUGGUUCCCUUAUUUGCAUCUCAACAGGAAUUUGUUGCCAAUUACUCCAAAAGGCAUAUGCUUUUAAGAGUCUAACAAAGUUUACACAUUUAGUUCCUUAAAAUUCAGUAUAAUUAACUGGGAUUUUGUUCUCCAUUCUGCACUGCCAGCUGCAUUUCAGAACUCAAAAAGAAAAUUUUCUGAGAAGCAUCUUUUACUAGGUUUUUCCUUCUAGUAUGAAGCUGAUUAUUUUAUAAUUCCAUAAUCCCAAGGGUAAAUGUCCUUAGAGAGCUGAUAGCUUCCCCUCUGGUCCUUACACUGGCUACAUUCUACUCUGGAUUCACUGUCUUGAGUCAUCCAGAGAAAAAUGCUGACAAGUUUUUAACUCUUUUUCUUAAGACCAGUAUAGCAAGUCAUAUACUAACUGGUUUUCUUCCUAAGGAUAUGCUACCAUACAAGUCUUGGACCUUAACUCAUAAUAAAAUACUCAUAGGUAAAUGUUCAGGGGGAACCAGCCACCAUACCUUUAAUUUCCUACAUCCAAGAUAAAACAAAAUAAAAAUUAAUAGGUGAUCAUCAUAAAAAGAUAAAGCUGUAGUCAAGACUAUGUAUUUUCUCAUUUUCCUUAACAAUGAUUAAAUUUUGAGAUUUGGAGAUAGAAAACCAUCCCUCAUUCACUUCCUUCACAAACAGGAGGCACAAAAGCUGAAAUCACUAAUAAAUAGGUGGGUCAAAAAAAGUUGAGCCACAAAUGGGGAGAAGGUGAUGCUCAACACCCUCAACUUGAACACUAUCUACUUUGCAAAAUGAGCUACAGCAUUCAAGCACUUCAGAAGUUACAUGAUUUGACUAUACCAGACAUUGACCUAUGAGAAAAAUGUCAUUUUAAUAAUUCUUAGUCUAGGCAGAGAAAUAUUAGACCACAGAUGUCCAUGUAACUUCUAGAUCACUGCUUCGCUGUCUACGGCUCAAGGUAAAAGCAAUACUCAAAUCUUCCUGAGUCUGUGACUUGUGAUGAGCCACAGGCCACUGCAUAUACAGAAAGAAGUCUUCAACGGCUCAACACUUAAAAAUAGGUACCAAACAACUCAGUCAGGUAAUCAAAAGAUCAAAAAUUAUUCUGUACAGGUUUUACAACCAGAGGAUUGCAGUAGCAACAAAUAACUCAUAUUCUGGGAAAUUAAUUUUUCAUCCAUUAAAUCUAAGAUGUUACACAAAAGGUUUUAUGUAACUAAGUACAAAAAAAUUAGUUACCAACAGUUGUGUAUGCCUACAAUUUUCCACCUGCCAUCACUAUUCUCGAUAUUUAAAGAGCUAAUCCUGUAGAAAUCUAGGAAAAGAGUAUUGCUAAAAUUAAUAUU